GGGUUCUCUUACACUUGAGAUGUAUUACAAGCAAGCUCCAAGAACUUGCCGGAAUUUCAUAGAGCUUGCUCGAAGAGGCUACUAUGAUAAUGUUAAGUUUCACAGAAUCAUCAAGGAUUUUAUUGUGCAAGGUGGAGAUCCAACUGGUACUGGAAGAGGCGGAGAAUCUAUCUAUGGCCAGAAGUUUGAAGACGAGAUAAAUCCACAGCUAAAGCAUACAGGAGCAGGUAUCAUAUCCAUGGCUAAUGCUGGACCAAAUACAAAUGGAAGUCAAUUCUUCAUCACCUUGGCACCUGCACAGUCACUUGAUGGGAAACAUACUAUUUUUGGAAGAGUUUGUCGGGGAAUGGAAAUUGUCAAGAGACUUGGCAGUGUACAGACUGAUAAUACUGACAGACCAAUCCAUGAUGUGAGGAUCUUGAGGACUACCGUCAAGGAUUGAUCUUCUGCAUCUUUGAAAACAAUUGUUAUAUUAGCUAGAGUAUCCAAGGGAUUGGCAUAGUGUUUUAAUUUCUGUCAUCACAACCAAGAUCCAUUCUAUCUUCUGCUUUCUAAGUGAAAAAAACUUAUUUAGGUCUGUAUGUGGGGAUGUGGAUACUGG
rnacentral:misc_RNA from 1 species